rnacentral:tRNA from 1 species
GGCGAUGUCAGCUAAAAAAAGCUUUUGGGCCCAUACCCCGAACACGACGGUUAAAAUCCGCCCGCCGCCA